AUUGAACGCUGGCGGCAUGCCUUACACAUGCAAGUCGAACGGUAACGGGCCUUCGGGUGCCGACGAGUGGCGAACGGGUGAGUAAUACAUCGGAACGUGCCCGAUCGUGGGGGAUAACGAGGCGAAAGCUUUGCUAAUACCGCAUACGAUCUACGGAUGAAAGCAGGGGACCGCAAGGCCUUGCGCGGACGGAGCGGCCGAUGGCAGAUUAGGUAGUUGGUGGGAUAAAAGCUUACCAAGCCGACGAUCUGUAGCUGGUCUGAGAGGAUGAUCAGCCACACUGGGACUGAGACACGGCCCAGACUCCUUCGGGAGGCAGCAGUGGGGAAUUUUGGACAAUGGGCGCAAGCCUGAUCCAGCCAUGCCGCGUGCAGGAUGAAGGCCUUCGGGUUGUAAACUGCUUUUGUACGGAACGAAAAGCCUUCUUUUAAUACAGGAGGGUCAUGACGGUACCGUAAGAAUAAGCACCGGCUAACUACGUG
rnacentral:rRNA from 1 species